UACGUAGGGUGCGAGCGUUGUCCGGAAUUAUUGGGCGUAAAGGGCUCGUAGGCGGUUUGUCGCGUCGGGAGUGAAAACUCAGGGCUUAACCCUGAGCCUGCUUCCGAUACGGGCAGACUAGAGGUAUGCAGGGGAGAACGGAAUUCCUGGUGUAGCGGUGAAAUGCGUAGAUAUCAGGAAGAACACCUAUGGCGAAGGCAGCUCUCUGGGACGGUACUGACGCUGAGGAGCGAAAGCGUGGGGAGCAAACAGG
rnacentral:rRNA from 1 species